rnacentral:lncRNA from 1 species
AAAUUUUCAUAAUAUAAAAUACAAAAAUUGACUAAUUUUUAAAUUAGUUAAUAUUUAACAUGUAUGUUAAAAAUGAUUAAAAAUAAAAUUUUAUAAUGUUAAAAUUCUUCUAAAUGAAGCUAGAUUCCAAUUGAUGACUGAUUGACAAACUGAUAAUUCAGUCACAGAAGAACACAAGAAACACAACUUGUACAAUUGAUAAUAAAAACGACAAAAGUUGCAAAUUAAACACUGCAAAACAUUAUACACAAUUAGAAAUUCAGAUUCCAUCUUCCCGGAAACGGCGUCGUCCCCGACGUGCGGCCUCUUCAAAGUUCGUUGUGGUUCCCGCCGUGCGGCCUAUCAUCUGAUAAAUUAAUUCACAGUUUCGGGACGUAAGUUUACAAAGAGAUAGCUAGACCAUUAGUUACCGAGGUACAAGAUACGGUACGGAAGAACUUACGGUCGGGCAAUUUAGCAGGGGAUGAAUCGGCAGCCAUUGCCGCCGGCAGAGGGCCUCCGAGUAUGAGAAAUAUGAGCAUGAUCACCAUUGUCACAGCCGUAACGGUGUUCUUGGAUACCAUACUUCUCUUUUGUGUGUACCUUCUAUUUGAAGAUAUGCAUAUGGGUUACUU